GCGCGCGAAAGAGUAAAAGAAAAACAGCCAAAGAAGCGAGAAAAAUUCUUCUGCGCUUCGUUCGAUCUUGGGCGGUCCGUCUUCUGUAGGAGUGAUGUACUCGAUCAAAAGUGACGAAACGGCGGGGUCAUUCCAUUGACGGUGAAACAGAUAAACCCUGUGCAUAACCUGUCUGAUGAUAAUUCAAAGCAGGAAAGGCAGUUUGGGUUCCACCGUAUUCAUAUAAAAUGUGUUCACCACGGCAUCCACCAAUAGCAAUCAAUUUGAGGCUUAGGGUUUGGUUUCUACAGCUCGGGAAAGAGAAAAAGCAGCGGAAGAGGAGCGAAAAAUAUUAUUCCGGCUUGUCUACGUUCAAGAAGCGAGGAAAUGGCAAGGUCAUUCUGUUCACUAUGAAACUGUACGAGGUUUCUUCAGAUUUUCCUCCUCUUUCUGUGGCAUUGGUGGGAAUGGUGUUGUACAAACUUGAAAAGGUUACUGAUGUUCACAAUUCGUCCUAGAUGAUGGAAUGGGAAGAAUUGAUGUUACCUGAUGAAAACCGCAUGAAGUGCUGUUUGUCAUAAGUUGAACUCUAGCAGCCUUGGUCCAGAUGUUGCGUACGUGAAAAGCACCGACUGCUAUGAAUGGCUGUUAUGUUUGUGUUCAUGGUCCUUUGAAGAUGUUCCAAGGAAAAAGGCUUUUAAACUCUUUCUGUGUAAGAUUAUUUGUUCAGAUAUUCAAGAAUUUAACAGUGAAUGUCACAUGCCGCAUCCCCCAAACAACUUUUGCAUGAAGGUAGCUAUAGAACAAGGAUUGCAUGUGGAUGAAGUCAGGCGGCCAGGGUUGCCCAAGAAGCGUGUUCUUGAAAUGAUUGAUUUUUUGGCAAGCGAAGGAUUUAUCUAUUCAACUAUUGAUGAUGACGAUUACAAAUCAACCACUAAUGCUAGGAUGCUGAAGUUUUUUGGUCAUGUUGGGGUAUUGUAAAAUGUAACUACUUUAUUUUCAUUCAAGUUCCUUACAUUUAUUUGGUGCUAUACGAACCUUAUACAACUGGGCAUGAGCUUUUGAGCGCACAACUUGUUGGAGGAUUUUGUGGCUUUUCCUAUUUUGUAUAUUUUUUUUCAGCCUAAGUCGGUGGAAACUAAGCUGCGUAAUGAGCAAUCAGGUGAUAGAUUGCUUCGGUAUGGUCUACGUUGAAAGCUCCCCUUGGGAUUAUCAAAGUUGGAGAACAAGGCUACAGACUUGAACUAAUGGAAUGUUAAUUCGGUAUGGUCUAUGAUGUAAGCUCUCCCGAGUGAG